rnacentral:tRNA from 1 species
UAUACUUUAGUAUAAGAUGUACAUUAAUUUUUGAUAUUAAAAGAAAUAGUUUAAUUCUAUUAAGUAUAA